AAGCAAUGUGUGCGUCAUCCCACAAAUGAUUUCAUCUCUGGUCUCGAGGUCACCUGGGGUUGGAUAGUAGAAAAACAUCACCUUCCUUUAUAGAACGUGGUGAUGUAUCUGUUCAGGAAUAGACAACACCCACUUCCCUCUCAGAAACAAGUUGGUCAUUUGUGGGAAGAAGAAAGUGUUACUCAAGCUCUACCCACGCAGUCAUCACAAAAACUCAUGUUGUUUUCGUGAUGACUAACGAGAAGAUUGCUACCAGCAACAUUCACUGCCUCUGUCCAUUUUUGAUCUUUUCAUAAUUCAAAUUCCUGGAAUUAGGAGAUGGACUCUCUCUGAAAAAAACAUUUGGGAAGCCGGUAAAUGUGAAGACUUUCAGUGAUUCCUCUAAAAGUGUUGCCUUUUUCUUCACUGUAGGUCUUCAGACCUGGAAAAUAAUGGAAGUACAUAAAAAGUAGUAAUAAUCCUCAAGUGCGGCGUGCGAACAUCGGGAAAACAAGGAGAAAUUCCAUCAAAGCGAAUGCCGUCACAUCUGGAGGACAGGUGUAGUCCUGUUUCUCGUGUUUCAGAAAUUUCUCCUUAAUUUACUUAUUUAAGAGUGCACCAAAGUGAGAGUGAAGCAGUUAUGCACCUCUGGAUUUGAUAUGGGAAACCAUAGCAAAUGAAAGCACGGCAGGGCAGGUAGGCAAAGGACAACUGCAACAUGUCUGAAGCGUAACCUGUUCUCCGGCUCUCACUUUGAAACCAGAUGAAGAUCGGCUGUGGCCCCGAAGUCAUUACACCUUCAAAGGGCACCCGGGCAGCAGCUGUCAGAAUACACUCGGCUUUGUGUUUAUGUGCGAGAGAAGAGCUGCGUGCCAAGGUCUUUGACCUUAUCAUCCACCUCACUGGUUCCGGAAGAAUCCUUUCCGUCCCCUAGGGCCCCUGUGGCUACCAAAGCUCCAGCCGAUACACGGAGCACAGCAGCAAACCAUCUUCUGCCUCAGACUAACAGCCAAGCGCCACAACCAUUUAGGAGUGAUCCCAGCAGAGCGCCCAAGUGGCUCAACCCGCCAGGUAUGUUCUUAUCAUCCCCAGCACGGGCCCGUGGCCGCUUAGCGGGGCCCGGGGCCUCCCAGAAACCCACAUGUCACAGCAGUACGUACAGUCAGCAGAGCUGCUGCCUCAAAACACACGCGAGUUUCCUGUAAAACGCACACGCAGUAAUCGCCUGCUAACAUAUUUUGUCUUUUUCAGACAGCACCAUAAACACUGGUAACUUUUCAUGAGUGUGAGAGUUACCCAUGGGGUAUCUGAAAGGAAUGCUCCCGCUCUGUGUCCUCUGAAGCAUUCCUCCAUGGUUAGGCAGUUUCAUGCCCACGAGGGGGCCACAAGGGCCUCUUGUCUCCUAAUUUAUCACAGCCUCAGAUGAUGCGCUACAUCCAUGCAAGCACAUACAGUAAACGAACACACAGACAUCUAGGAACAGAUACAAUGCAUCACAUGUUUAUUUAUGCAAGCGCCUCCCAACAUGCAUAGAUUAAAUAAAACGGUAACAGGCAGAUAACACCUGUCGCCACAUUUGGAUUAUGAUUCUCGACUUUCAGAUUGGCUUUUUUCAGAACUAAAUGUUUAAAGAAGCCUAAAAAGGGUUAAGACUUGCAGCAUUAGUAAUGGCAAUGUUCUACUUGGCACUUUAAAUGGUUUUACACACAUAAUCAUGGUAAAACUGAAUAUUUUAUGGGCCAUGUAAGUCCUUGACUUUGAUGUAAGCUCAUACCCUUUGACUGGUUGAAUGUUGCCAUCGCAAAAAAGCCAGCAAUCAGGGAGAAAAGGGCGUAUUAUGAUGACAUGUCACAGCCUCUCGCUUUGGGCCUCAGAAGAAAGGAGCUUUGAGAUGUCAGAAAUUUGGAGAGAUGGAGACGCUGUGUCACUCUAACAGAAGAAAACCACCACCGAGUUGUAAAUGGAGAAUUAAGGAGAAAAAUCUGACAUAAUCCUGACAUACUGUCGCAGGGACACUUUAGACAAAUGCAGACAACUCCACCCCAGACAAACAUUACCAUGAACCACAAACUUAUCAGAGCUAUGUGAACAUCCAGCUCUCUUUAAAGUAGACAGCCACAUAGAUCAGGCAUUCCUAGAAAUUUACAAAGGGAAUAACCUCAGUUAUAUUUAAUCAUAAUGGGUCAGUUUUGUCAUUGACAGUCCCACUGAUUAUUAAUUAAUUUGUCAAAUUUAACAAAAAAGAUGAAGAUCCAUCAUGGCAGUCACAGGUGCUUCUACUGACAUUGACUGUGGAUGUAUUUAAGCCAUGCCGAGUGCCCGAUCCCACGCGCAGCGCUGUCCAAAGACCAGGCAGGAGCUGGAGACAGAUCAGUCUCCGUCUCCUGGGAAAAGCUUCUCACUGCGGAGCUUCUCCAAAGCGUCUGGACUGGCUGUCGACACUCCCUGCCUUUAAUGUAUGAUCAAGAAAAGCUUUAACUCAUUACUCUCUACAACGCCCCUCCCCAUUCUUGUCCUAACUGCUUUCGUAUGUUUAAUAAUACCGACUUCAGAUGAAUUUGUUCCACUAACAUGCAUAAGGAGGGGAGGAAAAAAAAAGUCAGUGACAGAUCCAAGAUAGUAAUCUUUUUUAUUUCGUGCGCAAGAAUCAACUGUUGGGAAAGAUCCAUUUCAAUUUGAGUAAAUCUCCACAAAGGCUACGCACAAAAAGAAACCCUUUACAAAUUUUUUUCUUCUCUGGUGACGACUUAAGCUGUGCUCAAGUUUUUUUCUUUUCUUUUUUUUACAAGAAAGUGUGGUCUGGAAGUUACCCCUGGGAAACACAAAUCCAGCGUGAGCCUUACUAAAAUGAUGCUGGGUCAAAUUCCAGGUGUCGUGUCCUUGAACACCUAUUCAGGGCUGGAUUCUUGGUUUUAGCCUAAGUUGGUUCCAGCUGUAAAAGUGAGUAGCAUUCGUAAGUCACCCAAGAGCCCCACAAAUAAAUACUGUGAGGUGUUGCACAGCUAUGCUGACUCACAGCAAGGACACGUUGGUCAAACACACUGCUGGUGGAAAACCAUCAGAGCCGCUCAGGUUAGAAAACCCCACAUUACCCUCUUCCUUGUAGGCCGAGCUUCACCCCCCACCCACCCCCUCCCUGUGCUGUGAUGAAAGUAGAGAGAGCACCUCCACUACUCGCCUCUUUUGUUUAUUUACCUUCAGAAUUACACCCUGCUCUUCUUGGACCAUGUUCCAAUGUGUUUUGUUAUGUUUCCCUUCAAAUAGAACAUCUACGCGUGUGGUCUCUGGCCGUGUUUGGCUAACACACGCACACGUACGUGCACACACACUCCCAUUCAACUUUCCCCCUGUGCCAGAGGUCCCCUUUGCCCUCCCCCCCUCCUCUAACUAAACAUCGCAGGACAGCAAAAGGGAACUUCAAAGUGGCCGGAGGGGUACUCCUUUUUUCCUGGCACUUGUCAUCAUCUAAGGGACUGGCUGCUCCCCUUAUUACUCUAAUUGCUUCCAACUGCUCCCGGAGGCUUUGAUGAAGGGCGCCAUGGAGCAUGCUGGAAGCACCUGUUGUUGCACACAGGAGCACAGGUGGCCCUUAUUGGUGGUGGCGUGGUAGCGUGCGGAUUGCAAUGGUGCUUCCUGCUAAAAUCAUGCAGCUCUAAUAAAAACAUAAUCUCAAUGUUAUCUCAGAUUUGGGGAUUUAUGAAACUGCAAUAAUACUGAAAAAAGAACUUUUAGCUGGUGGAACUGUGGAAGGGAUCUGUUGAUCGAGAGACAUCUCAGCAGCACUCUGGCUCCAUCUUGUGGUAUCACUGUGCUAGAAGUCCAGAAGCUGUGUUGGAGAAAAUUGAGAAAUACAAGAUUGUCAGACAGCAGACAUAAAAGUCUUUUGUAGAAAGGUUAAAUACAUUUGAGAUUAACGAUAGCUCUCAUAGCAUCUACACAUUUAAGGUUUUCGUAUACGUAUCCCCAGAUAAGAUUUGUAUUACCACUCCAUUUCAAAUCAUCACAUUUUUACAACAUUUUCUACUCAGCCAUCUCCAAUUUGCCUAAAAGUGUGAACAUAUAUAAUGACUGCUGCAACAUUUCAG
ensembl:lncRNA